rnacentral:rRNA from 1 species
AGGAUGAACGCUGGCGGCGUGCCUAACACAUGCAAGUCGAACGUCCUGUCUCGCAAGAGGCAGGGAGUGGCGGACGGGUGAGUACCACGUGGGUCAUCUACCGUGAGGUGAGGAAUACCGGCGAGAAAUCGCCGACAAGACCGCAUAGGCUCGAUGCAAGUCGAGCAAAGCUCUUUCGAGAGAGGGAGCGCCACACGAGGAGCCUGCGCCCGAUUAGCUAGCUGGUGGAGUAACGGUUCACCAGGGCGACGAUCGGUAGCUGGUCUGAGAGGACGAUCAGCCACACUGGGAUUGAGAACGGCCCAGACUCCUACGGGGGGCAGCAGUGAGGAAUUUUCGUCAAUGGGGGCAACCCUGAACGAGCAACGCCGCGUGCAGGAAGAGGUUUCGGAUCGUAAACUGCUUUUCUCGGGAAGAGAAUGGACGGUACCCGAGGAAUCAGCCCCGGCUAACUACGCGCCAGCAGCCGCGGU